rnacentral:tRNA from 4 species
ACGCCAGUAGCUCAGUUGGCAGAGCAACGGAUUCCAAAUCCGUAGGUCGAGUGUUCGAGUCACUCCUGGCGUG